CCCUAGGGUUGUAAAGCACUUUCAACGGUGCAAUGAUAUAUGCACGGUAACCGUAGCAAGAAGCCCCGGCUAUACUUCGUGCCAGACAGCUCGUCGGUAAUACGAAGGGGGCUAGCGUUGUUCGGAAUUACUGGGCGUAUAAGCGCACGUAGGCGGAUCGUUAAGUGAGGGGUGAAAUCUCCAGGGCUCAACCCUGGAACUGCCUUUCAUACUGGCGAUCUUGAGUUCGCAGAGAGGUGAGUGGAAAUUCCGAGUGUAGAGGUGAAAUUCGUAGAUAUUCGGAGGGAACACCAUUGGCGAAGGCGGCUCACUGGCUCGAUACUGACGCUGAGGUGCGAAAGCGUGGGGAGCAAACAGGGAUUAGAUACCCUGGUAGUCCACGCCGUAAACGAUGAAUGUUAGCCGUCGGGCAGUUUACUGUUCGGUGGCGCAGCUAACGC
rnacentral:rRNA from 1 species